rnacentral:tRNA from 1 species
AAAGCCCUUUAAACAC